rnacentral:rRNA from 1 species
UACGUAGGGUGCGAGCGUUAAUCGGAAUUACUGGGCGUAAAGGGUGCGUAGGCGGUUUGCUAAGACAGGUGUGAAAUCCCCGGGCUUAACCUGGGAAUUGCGCUUGUUACUGGCAGGCUAGAGUGUGUCAGAGGGAGGUAGAAUUCCACGUGUAGCAGUGAAAUGCGUAGAGAUGUGGAGGAAUACCGAUGGCGAAGGCAGCCUCCUGGGAUAACACUGACGCUGAGGCACGAAAGCGUGGGGAGCAAACAGG